CCAACGUUAAUCGGGGCAGGGUGAGUCGACCCCUAAGGCGAGGCCGAAAGGCGUAGUCGAUGGGAAACAGGUUAAUAUUCCUGUACUUGGUGUUACUGCGAAGGGGGGACGGAGAAGGCUAUGUUGGCCGGGCGACGGUUGUCCCGGUUUAAGCGUGUAGGCUGGUUUUCCAGGCAAAUCCGGAAAAUCAAGGCUGAGGCGUGAUGACGAGGCACUACGGUGCUGAAGCAACAAAUGCCCUGCUUCCAGGAAAAGCCUCUAAGCAUCAGGUAACAUCAAAUCGUACCCCAAACCGACACAGGUGGUCAGGUAGAGAAUACCAAGGCGCUUGAGAGAACUCGGGUGAAGGAACUAGGCAAAAUGGUGCCGUAACUUCGGGAGAAGGCACGCUGAUAUGUAGGUGAAGUCCCUUGCGGAUGGAGCUGAAAUCAGUCGAAGAUACCAGCUGGCUGCAACUGUUUAUUAAAAACACAGCACUGUGCAAACACGAAAGUGGACGUAUACGGUGUGACGCCUGCCCGGUGCCGGAAGGUUAAUUGAUGGGGUCAGCGCAAGCGAAGCUCUUGAUCGAAGCCCCGGUAAACGGCGGCCGUAACUAUAACGGUCCUAAGGUAGCGAAAUUCCUUGUCGGGUAAGUUCCGACCUGCACGAAUGGCGUAAUGAUGGCCAGGCUGUCUCCACCCGAGACUCAGUGAAAUUGAACUCGCUGUGAAGAUGCAGUGUACCCGCGGCAAGACGGAAAGACCCCGUGAACCUUUACUAUAGCUUGACACUGAACAUUGAGCCUUGAUGUGUAGGAUAGGUGGGAGGCUUUGAAGUGUGGACGCCAGUCUGCAUGGAGCCGGCCUUGAAAUACCACCCUUUAAUGUUUGAUGUUCUAACGUGGACCCGUGAUCCGGGUUGCGGACAGUGUCUGGUGGGUAGUUUGACUGGGGCGGUCUCCUCCUAAAGAGUAACGGAGGAGCACGAAGGUUGGCUAAUCCUGGUCGGACAUCAGGAGGUUAGUGCAAUGGCAUAAGCCAGCUUGACUGCGAGCGUGACGGCGCGAGCAGGUGCGAAAGCAGGUCAUAGUGAUCCGGUGGUUCUGAAUGGAAGGGCCAUCGCUCAACGGAUAAAAGGUACUCCGGGGAUAACAGGCUGAUACCGCCCAAGAGUUCAUAUCGACGGCGGUGUUUGGCACCUCGAUGUCGGCUCAUCACAUCCUGGGGCUGAAGUAGGUCCCAAGGGUAUGGCUGUUCGCCAUUUAAAGUGGUACGCGAGCUGGGUUUAGAACGUCGUGAGACAGUUCGGUCCCUAUCUGCCGUGGGCGCUGGAGAACUGAGGGGGGCUGCUCCUAGUACGAGAGGACCGGAGUGGACGCAUCACUGGUGUUCGGGUUGUCAUGCCAAUGGCACUGCCCGGUAGCUAAAUGCGGAAGAGAUAAGUGCUGAAAGCAUCUAAGCACGAAACUUGCCCCGAGAUGAGUUCUCCCUGACCCUUUAAGGGUCCUGAAGGAACGUUGAAGACGACGACGUUGAUAGGCCGGGUGUGUAAGCGCAGCGAUGCGUUGAGCUAACCGGUACUAAUGAACCGUGAGGCUUAACCUUACAACGCCGAAG
rnacentral:rRNA from 1 species